rnacentral:tRNA from 1 species
GCUAGUGAGGCCCAAAUGGCAGGGCACUGGUCUCCAAAACCGGAGGAUGUAGGUUCGACUCCUACCGCUAGCG